UACGGAGGGUGCGAGCGUUGUUCGGAAUCACUGGGCGGAAAGCGCGUGUAGGCGGCCCACUAAGUCUGAUGUGAAAGCCCGGGGCUCACCCCCGGAAGUGCAUUGGAAACUGGUGGACUCGAGUCCCGGAGAGGAGAGUGGAAUUCCUGGUGUAGCGGUGAAAUGCGUAGAUAUCAGGAGGAACACCGGUGGCGAAGGCGGCUCUCUGGACGGUGACUGACGCUGAGACGCGAAAGCGUGGGGAGCAAACAGG
rnacentral:rRNA from 1 species